rnacentral:rRNA from 1 species
UCGGGGUGCACCAGGCGCGAAAACUCUACAAUGCAGGCAACUGCGAUAGGGGAACAUCGAGUGAUCCUCAUAUUGGGGGUCUGUCCCAUCGUCUAAAAAACGGUGGUUAGCAAGGGCCGGGCAAGACCGGUGCCAGCCGCCGCGGUAAUACCGGCGGCUCGAGUGGUGGCCGAUAUUAUUGAGUCUAAAGGGUCCGUAGCCGGCUUUGCAAGUCUCUCGGGAAAUCCAGCGGCUUAACCGUUGGUCGUCCGGGGGGUACUACAUUGCUUGGGACUGGGAGAGGUAGGAGGUACUCAGGGGGUAGGAGUGAAAUCCUGUAAUCCUCUGGGGACCACCGGUGGCGAAGGCGUCCUACCAGAACAGGUCCGACGGUGAGGGACGAAAGCUAGGGGCACGAACCGGAUUAGAUACCCGGGUAGUCCUAGCCGUAAACGAUGCUCGCUAGGUGUCACAACAGUCGUGAACUGUUGUGGUGCCGUAGGGAAGCCGUGAAGCGAGCCACUUGGGAAGUACGACCGCAAGGUUGAAACUUAAAGGAAUUGGCGGGGGAGCAC